rnacentral:tRNA from 1 species
GCAACAUUAGCUCCAAAUGGUUAGAGCGUCGCUCUGUUAAAGCGAGGGUUUUCUGUUCGAAUCAGAAAUGUUGCG